rnacentral:rRNA from 1 species
UACGUAGGAUGCAAGCGUUGUCCGGAAUUAUUGGGCGUAAAGAGCGCGCAGGCGGUUCAUCAAGUCAGAUGUGAAAUAGCCAGGCUUAACCUGGAGGGGUCAUUUGAAACUGGUGGACUAGAGUACAGCAGAGGAUAGCGGAAUUCCCGGUGUAGUGGUGAAAUGCGUAGAUAUCGGGAGGAACACCAGUGGCGAAGGCGGCUAUCUGGGCUGAAACUAACGCUGAGGCGCGAAGGCUAGGGGAGCAAACAGG